AUACGUAGGGGGCAAGCGUUGUCCGGAAUUACUGGGCGUAAAGAGCUCGUAGGCGGCUCAGCAAGUCGGUCGUGAAAGCCCGAGGCUCAACCUCGGAACUGCGGUCGAUACUACUGUGGCUAGAGUCCGGUAGAGGAGAGUGGAAUUCCCGGUGUAGCGGUGGAAUGCGCAGAUAUCGGGAGGAACACCAGUGGCGAAGGCGGCUCUCUGGGCCGGUACUGACGCUGAGGAGCGAAAGCGUGGGGAGCAAACAGGAUUAGAAACCCUAGUAGUCC
rnacentral:rRNA from 1 species